rnacentral:lncRNA from 1 species
AUGAGAGCAGUUAUGACACUGAACUGUGAAGCUCGUACCAGUACCAGAACAACUUCAGAGACACCACAACAAGAAGAGGUGCAGCCAGAUUCAGUACAAACAAGAGUUCUGAAAUGGGCUCAUAACACCCGCUCAGGAUCUGAAGCAACUGCUGCUGGAUUAAAUCGUGGUCCUUGGGAACGGAGUCCCAAGGUGGGACGAAAAUUCAACUGCAGAACCUGUGCUGCCAACUGGGAGCCACAAGUCCUAUGUGAAACUGUGCUGCUGCACAAGAUGGAUGAUGAGAGCUUUCCUUCACAAGGGAAGGCUGGAGGUAGG